rnacentral:rRNA from 1 species
ACUAACGAAUAAGGGGUGGGCAAGUUCUGGUGUCAGCCGCCGCGGUAAAACCAGCACCUCAAGUGGUCAGGAUGAUUAUUGGGCCUAAAGCAUCCGUAGCCGGCUCUGUAAGUCCUCGGUUAAAUCUGUACGCUUAACGUACAGGCUGCCGGGAAUACUGCAUAGCUAGGGAGUGGGAGAGGUAGACGGUACUCGGUAGGAAGGGGUAAAAUCCUUUGAUCUAUUGAUGACCACCUGUGGCGAAGGCGGUCUACCAGAACACGUCCGACGGUGAGGGAUGAAAGCUGGGGGAGCAAACCGGAUUAGAUACCCGGGUAGUCCCAGCUGUAAACUAUGCAAACUCAGUGAUGCAUUGGCUUGUGGCCAAUGCAGUGCUGCAGGGAAGCCGUUAAGUUUGCCGCCUGGGAAGUACGUACGCAAGUAUGAAACUUAAAGGAAUUGGCGGGGGAGCACCACAAGGGGUGAAGCCUGCGGUUCAAUUGGAGUCAACGCCAGAAAUCUUACCCGGAGAGACAGCAGAAUGAAGGUCAAGCUGAAGACUUUACCAGACAAGCUGAGAGGUGGUGCAUGGCCGUCGCCAGCUCGUGCCGUGAGAUGUCCUGUUAAGUCAGGUAACGAGCGAGAUCCCUGCCUCUAGUUGCCACCAUUACUCUCAGGAGUAGUGGGGCGAAUUAGCGGGACCGCCGCAGUUAAUGCGGAGGAAGGAAGGGGCCACGGCAGGUCAGUAUGCCCCGAAACUCUGGGGCCACACGCGGGCUGCAACGGUAACGACAAUUGGUUUCGAAUCCGAAAGGAUGAGGUAAUCCGUAAACGUUACCACAGUUAUGACUGAGGGCUGCAACUCGCCCUCACGAAUAUGGAAUCCCUAGUAACUGCGUGUCACUAUCGCGCGGUGAAUACGUCCCUGCUCCUUGCACACACCGCCCGUCGUUUCAUUGAAGUGAGCUUUUAGCGAGGUGACGUCUAAUUGGCGUUAUCGAACUUGAGGUUCGUGACAAGGGAAAAGUCGUAACAAGGUGACCGUAGGGGAACCUGCGGUCG